rnacentral:misc_RNA from 1 species
GAAGUGCGAUAAGCAAUGCGAAUUGCAGAAUUCCGCGAAUCAUCAGAUCUUUGAACGCAAAUGGCGUCAGAGGGAUAUCCUUCUGACAUGUCUGUUUCAGUGUCUGAGAGGUUUCACAAAAUCUUAAUGUGAUUGAAUCGAGUUAGUUAGUUUACUAGCUUUCUAGUUUCUCUCAUGAAAGUUGCGCGAGUGGAUCUUUCGGUCCAAUGAAGUGGUCACAUCACUCGAAUGUGAUUUCAUUGGAAGCACCGAAUUAUCAACUAAAACUCGCGGUAUCAUUAAACCAUGUAUUGAUGAUGCAUCAUCAUCAGUACUUUCUCUAUACCCUGCAUCUGAGAUAGGCAAGAUCACCCGCUGAACUUAA